UACGGGAGGCAGCAGUGGGGAAUAUUGCACAAUGGGCGAAAGCCUGAUGCAGCUAUGCCGCGUGUAUGAAGAAGGCCUUAGGGUUGUAAAGUACUUUUCAUCGGGGAGGAAAAACAAAACUAAUAAUUUUAUUUCUUGACGUUACCCGAAAAAGAAGCACCGGCUAACUCCGUGCCAGCAGCCGCGGUAAUACGGAGGGUGCUAGCGUUAAUCAGAAUUACUGGGCGUAAAGAGCACGUAGGUGGUUUUUUAAGUCAGAUGUGAAAUCCCUGGGCUUAACCUAGGAACUGCAUUUUGAAACUGAAAUACUAGAGUAUCGUAGAGGGAGGUAGAAUUCUAGGUGUAGCGGUGAAAUGCGUAGAUAUCUGGAGGAAUACCUGUGGCGAAAGCGGCCUCCUAAACGAAUACUGACACUGAGGUGCGAAAGCGUGGGGAGCAAACAGGGAUUAGAUACC
rnacentral:rRNA from 1 species